UAGCCUCCUGCUUGUCACUGCCUGU
rnacentral:misc_RNA from 1 species